rnacentral:lncRNA from 1 species
CAGGAGCUUGGGGGAGUAUGUGCCCCUGGAAAGCACUAGAGCCAUGCCAGCGUUCAGUGAGCUCUGUGAGGUGACAGGAAGCUCCCGAGGCCAGGCCUAGGGCUUCUGGUGCGUGGGCAGGGGAGCGGAGACAGCUUCCUCUUUUGAAAGGUUGGCAGGAGCGAAGUGGAGGCUGACGGAUGUAGGAGAAGAUCUCAUACAGGCUGGGGGGCAAGUGUGGGUGCCCUGAGGUGCCCAGGGAGGGAAGCGUAAGGCAGGGCAGACCCGGGAGGGCCACGAGUGCCAGGCGAGGAGCAUGGUGGCUUCCGGCCUGAGGGUGAUACGGCCAUGAGGGGUUUAAUGGGUGGGGCAGGGUCAGCUCAGGGGGCCCAGAUAUGGGGGGAGCCCAGCCUGGGAGCAUCUGGGGACACUUUCUGGAAGACGUGAGUACUACAGCACUAAGAGUUUGCUAGAAGGGCAGGAAUGAAGGGCCCUCUCAGUACAAAGGUGUGAAGACGGUGGUGAACUGUGCGGGGAAGGUGUGAAGACGGUGGUGAACUGUGUGGGGAAGGUGUGAAGACGGUGGUGAGCUGUGCGGGGAAGGUGUGAAGACAGUGGUGAACUGUGUGGGGAAGGUGUGAAGACGGUGGUGAACUAUGUGGGGAAGGUGUGAAGACGGUGGUGAACUAUGUGGGGAAGGUGUGAAGACGGUGAACUGUGCGGGGAAGGUGUGAAGACAGUGAGCUGUGUGGGGAAGGUGUGAAGACGGUGGUGAACUGCGUGGGGAAGGUGUGAAGACGGUGGUGAACUGCGCGGGGAAGGGGUGAAGACGGUGGUGAGCUGCGUGGGGAAGGUGUGAAGACGGUGGUGAGCUGCGU